UACAGAGGGGGCAAGCGUUGUUCGGAAUUACUGGGCGUAAAGAGCGCGUAGGCGGCCUUCUAAGUCGAACGUGAAAUCCCCGGGCUCAACCCGGGAACUGCGUCCGAUACUGGAAGGCUUGAAUCCGGGAGAGGGAUGCGGAAUUCCAGGUGUAGCGGUGAAAUGCGUAGAUAUCUGGAGGAACACCGGUGGCGAAGGCGGCAUCCUGGACCGGCAUUGACGCUGAGGCGCGAAAGCCAGGGGAGCAAAGCAGG
rnacentral:rRNA from 1 species